GACGUAGGGGACGAGCGUUGUCCGGAUUCAUUGGGCGUAAAGCGCGCGUAGGCGGUUUGGUAAGUCGGAUGUGAAAGCCCCGGGCUCAACCCUGGAACUGCAUCCGAAACCAUCUCGCUAGAGUAUGAGAGAGGGAAGCAGAAUUCCUGGUGUAGAGGUGAAAUUCGUAGAUAUCAGGAGAAAUACCUGCGGCGAAGGCGGCUUCCUGGCUCAUUACUGACGUUCAGGUACGAAAGCGUGGGUAGCAAACAGG
rnacentral:rRNA from 1 species